CUUGGUAUUCUUCCACAGCUUUCUUGAACUGCACCUAUUUGAAUAUUGUUGUUGAUGUUGCCGUGCAUGUACAUAUGACAUUGUAUUUUUGUUGCGGUUCAAUAAAGCUGUGGGAAGAUACAAACA
rnacentral:pre_miRNA from 13 species